rnacentral:rRNA from 1 species
UACGUAGGGUGCGAGCGUUAAUCGGAAUUACUGGGCGUAAAGCGUGCGCAGGCGGUGAUGUAAGACCGAUGUGAAAUCCCCGGGCUCAACCUGGGAAUUGCAUUUGUGACUGCACGGCUAGAGUGUGUCAGAGGGGGGUAGAAUUCCACGUGUAGCAGUGAAAUGCGUAGAGAUGUGGAGGAAUACCGAUGGCGAAGGCAGCCCCCCUGGGAUAACACUGACGCUCAUGCACGAAAGCGUGGGGAGCAAACAGG